UGGGGGAUAUUGCACAAUGGGCGAAAGCCUGAUGCAGCGACGCCGCGUGGGGGAUGAAGGCCUUCGGGUUGUAAACUUCUUUUGCUCUGAACAAGGCAUGCUAAUGGGUGUGUUGAGUGUAGGGGUUGAUUAGCGCCGGCUAACUACGUGCCAGCAGCCGCGGUAAUACGUAGGGCGCGAGCGUUGUCCGGAAUUAUUGGGCGUAAAGGGCUUGUAGGUGGCUGGUUGCGUCUGUCGUGAAAGAUCAUGGCUUAACUGUGGGUUUGCGGUGGGUACGGGCUGGCUUGAGUGCAGUAGGGGAGGCUGGAAUUCCUGGUGUAGCGGUGGAAUGCGCAGAUAUCAGGAGGAAUACCGGUGGCGAAGGCGGGUCUCUGGGCUGUUACUGACACUGAGGAGCGAAAGCAUGGGGAGCGAACAGG
rnacentral:rRNA from 1 species